rnacentral:lncRNA from 1 species
AUUUAUUUGCUAUUUGAAUAUAUAUUAUUGCCCAGUAAAAUCGAUAUAUUUUCUCAACACAACAUUGUCAAAUGCUCUUAAAUCAUCUUCAUCCUUGUCCAAGAAGUUUGCCACAUCAUCCGAAAAGCUCCCACACUUGGCACUUGCUUGACUAUUAUUCAUGGCAAACACGGAGGAGUUGCCAAGAGAGUUCAGAUAUUCAUCCACUGAUGAUAAAUUAUCUUUAGUAGGCUGAUCAGAAGCAACUUGUUUAGCUGGUCCUUGCAACACCUUUAAUCACUCUGUUGGAAAUAGGGGCAGUAGAGCAGGUGUUUGCUGAUUGCCGGAAUCACUUGCAAUUUCUUUUCCCAAUUCCAAAUUCUGUUGUGUGGACUGAGGCUUCUCAUAAAUAUCCAGAGUAAAGUUGAUUAAUGUAUAGAAAACAAUAAAUAUGUGCAUGUAAAUGUAAAUACAAAUCCCAACAACAUGUGUUAAUUCUUAAAGUAUUACUUGCUGUGCUAUGAUAUUCUGAAAAAAAAAAUUUCCUCAACUGGUGUAGCUGUAGAUUCCCAUAUGCCUGAUCUCUAAAUGCUUUGAUUUGGCAUUCAUGUAGAAUUUUGAAAAAAUUGGACCACAAGAGAGCAUCUUCAAGUUCUAAGGAUCAGCGUUCUAGGAAACAAGGAUUCAAAUCUGUGACGGGAAUGCACAACUGAACCUGGUGUGGGAGACGCUUUUCGGGACCUUGGUAGAGGGUGCCAUUCCUUCAGCUUGGAAAUUCGUCUUCGACUUUGAGGAAGCAGCUUCUGUAGUUAACUAAGUACAUCAGAACAUGGGAAUGUUGUCACUAGCAAGAGUAAAAACAAAAUGGGGUUAAUCAUUCAUGCUUACUAGAAGUUUGUUUUUAAUUGCAACCUACAAAUUAGGGAACGACAAUAUGUAUAGAAUUAGAAUCCCAAAGCCUACUUUACUUUUUAAAUUAAA